CGUGACUUGCAUUGGUUGCCGGUUGCCCUCCGGGGAGAUUCAAGGUGCUGGUGAUUACCUAUAAAGCCCUACAUGGCCUAGGCCCGGGAUAUUUGACGGACCAUCUGCAGCCAGCAAUAGCUUCCCAUCGCCCUGUGCGUUCCCACAGGGAGGGCCUACUCAGGGUGCUGUCGGCCAGACAGUGUCGGCUGUCUACCCCCAGGGGGAGAGCUUUCUCUGUGGGCACACCCACCCUUUGGAAUCAACUCCCUCUGGAGCUCCAGGUGGCCCCCGACCUCCGCUUUUUCCGCUGUGGCCUGAAAACAUGGCUAUUUCACCUGGCCGCCCUGGACUGAUGGGGAUUUUAAUAGAAUUUUAACUGGGUUUUAUUGAAUUUUUGUUAAUUUUAACCUGGAUUUUUUGUUUUAAUGGUUUGUUUGCUUUGUUUUAAUUGUUGUGAGCCGCCCUGAGUCCAUUGGAGAUAGGGCGACAUACAAGUUCCCUAAACAAACAAACAAACAAACAAACAAACUUUAUGUAGUUGCAGUGGGAAUUAUGCUAGAAUGUCUUUUCUUUACACAGUUUAUCCUAGUCAACAAUUACAUGCUGAACAAACUCACAACCUUGUUCCCAGAGAAAUGUUUUCUAAUACUUAUAUCCUGGACUAAUUUUAUACCUUGGGUAGGCAACAUGGUAGAGCUACUUUGGUAUAAUGGCUAAGGCAUCAAGCUAGAAGUUGGGGGAGUGUUAAGUUUCACAUUGUGCCAGUCACUCUCUCUUAGCUCUAGGAAGGAGCAAAUGGCAAACCACUUCUGAAAUCCUGUCAAAAAAACCUGCAGGGACUUGUCCUGACUGACACAAAAGUAUCACAAUAAAAUAAAAAGGUAACAUAGGGCCUAUGGAAAUUUCUCUUGUUUCUUAGCAGGUUCUGUAUCUGAGUUGAAGGAUGUAUGUAUAUUUAGGUAUGUAUGAUAUUCUAACUAAAAAUUAAUCACAUGCUUACCAUAAUUUACAAGGUGGCAUCUUUAUUUUCAAACUUGUUUAUUGGUUCUUUAGAUGUUUUCAAAUAUUAAAAAUAAUGGAUGCAGCAAUGCACCUUCUCCCAAAAGAUGUGGGAAUUAUAUUAACAUUAGAGGCUAAAAUCGUAGUGAUUUAAAUUCAUUGGCAAGGGCCGUCUCUAGCUUUUAUUUUGUUAGUUGCCAAUUUUUUGAUUUACUGUGCCCACUGUUCAUCCAUUUUGUGACUAGGCAAGUCCUUUAUUAUCAGCCAUUUUAUGAAGUUGUCCAGAACAUACCUUAAAAUUCCAGAUGUGCUCACUUAUUGCCUCCUCCUGGUUAACAGUAUUUGUAGCGAUUGAUAAGAAUGCUCAUAUUUUUCUGAUUUUUUUGUAAAAAUAUCUAAGAUAAAUAAUAUCAAACUGGAGAAAGAAUUAUGCUUCCAUCUACUUAGUAGAAAUGCAUUUUGUAGUUACUCUAUGUAGCCUGUGGAAGAGCCUUUAAAAAAGCUAUUAUUCACAGUUACUCUUUCCAUCCUGCCAAGCGGCAAUCUAUAUUCUCAUCUCAGUAUGUAUUUAAGUUUGGAAAUGCUGAAGACUUUUAGAUUGCCCAGACAAUCUUGAAAAAAAGAACCACUAAAUUUAGGAUUGCAUUGUUUCAUUUUUCAUCUUUUCUCCAUCUCAGAAUAGUAAUAAUUAUGUAAAAUAAUGAUAAUUUGUUGAGAUACAUAAUAUCUCAAGAGGAAUUGGACUCACACAGUUCAUUGUCCUCCGCAGCAUGAUAAUCUGGGCAAAACCCCAACUACCUCAUUCCUAGAAGAAUUCGUUUCCACUGAGGUCACAGCUCUUUCUUUUUCCUUUUUGUGGCCAUAGACUCUUUUUGAUGGAAAUUGCAGAAAAUGCAUCCCCCCCCUUCUGCAUUAUUGAAAAAGAACACCUACUGCAACUUUUGCCUUUGGAGACCUAUGAUUGGAUGAAGUCCUCAUACUAGGCCAGUACAGUCUGAUUCCUUCCUUGAUGAUGGGCAUGACUAUAUGAUUUCAGUGUUAUGGGCAGGGACAGGCUGUUUGAGUAGUCGGCCAAUGCUGUAACUGCUAAGGAGGGAUGAAUUGCGUUUUAUAAAAGUGAAGUAGAAUUUUGGAACUCCUUUAAUUUUUAUUAUUAUUAUUAUUAUGCAUGUAAGUGUUUUCUUAACACCUUUCAUCCCAUAAGCUGAAAUUGAAAAUGUUUUGAAUCUUUGGAAGGAUCAACAAUGAAACAUUUUCAUUGUUCUUUCUUUAAAAAAAAAACCACGGUGGAGGGAGAGCCUUUUGCUGAGAUGACCUGCAUGUUGGGAUAAUAUCUUUUCAUAUUUGAGAAGAAGACAAAGGAACUACAGUGCUAAGCACAGAACACUUAUUAAAAACAGUUGGGAAGCAUAUAAAAGGUUCCGUGUGUGUGAAAAACGGGACAGCUGUGAUGGUCUAUUGGGAAAGUAUGUACAGAUGGUAGUAAGGAGGAGAAUGAUGACUGCAUGGCUGAUAAAUGAAAUACCAAAAAAAGGGGGGGAAUGCAUUAUGUUGGUUGAUCGUUGUAAAUUAUACAUUUUUGGGGUGCAGCAUUUAGUUCUUGGAUUUCUAAUGAUUCAGCCAGCAAAUGCGAGUGACUGCAGGGUUUCAGGGAACGUGAGGCAACUGAGGGAGUUUCUAGCUAUUAUUCCAGCAGUUCAACAGGAAGCAAGAAGAUCGGAAUUGGUUAUAUAGUUUUAUUAAUGAAAACAGUUUCUAAUAUAAAAAGUAAUUCCUGCUUCUUCAAGAAUCUAUCCAUCCUCUCCUGAACAGGAGAAUGCCAGCAGGAAAAAGAAGAAAGUCUGGAUAUCCAGGGAAUAUUUUUUUAAUAUUUUAAAAGAAAACUUUCUCUUCUGAAAAAAGAAAAUGUGUGUAUUUCCUAUUUUAGAGAUUAUAAAUCGUUACACAAAA